rnacentral:rRNA from 1 species
CCUACGGGUGGCAGCAGUGGGGAAUAUUGGACAAUGGGGGGAACCCUGAUCCAGCCAUGCCGCGUGUGUGAAGAAGGCCCUCGGGUUGUAAAGCACUUUCAGUGAGGAAGAACGCCUGGUGGUUAAUACCCAUCAGGAAAGACAUCACUCACAGAAGAAGCACCGGCUAACUCCGUGCCACGCAGCCGCGGUAAUACGGAGGGUGCGAGCGUUAAUCGGAAUUACUGGGCGUAAAGCGCGCGUAGGUGGCUUGAUAAGCCGGUUGUGAAAGCCCCGGGCUCAACCUGGGAACGGCAUCCGGAACUGUCAAGCUAGAGUGCAGGAGAGGAAGGUAGAAUUCCCGGUGUAGCGGUGAAAUGCGUAGAGAUCGGGAGGAAUACCAGUGGCGAAGGCGGCCUUCUGGACUGACACUGACACUGAGGUGCGAAAGCGUGGGUAGCAAACAGGAUUAGAUACCCCGGUAGUC